rnacentral:rRNA from 1 species
UACGUAGGGGGGCAAGCGUUGUCCGGAUUCAUUGGGCGUAAAGAGCGUGUAGGCGGCCAGGUAGGUCGGUUGUGAAAACUGGAGGCUCAACCUUCAGAGGUCGACCGAAACCAUCCGGCUAGAGUGCGGUAGAGGAGAGUGGAAUUCCCGGUGUAGCAGUGAAAUGCGUAGAGAUCGGGAGGAACAUCAGUUGCGAAGGCGGCUCUCUGGACCAGCACUGACACUGAGGCACGAAAGCGUGGGGAGCAAACAGG